rnacentral:rRNA from 1 species
AUUGAACGCUGGCGGCAGGCCUAACACAUGCAAGUCGAACGAGUGGCGGACUGGCGAGUAAUGUCUGGGAAACUGCAUGACGGAGGGGGAUAACUACUAGAAAAGGUAGCAAAUACCGCAUACCAUCGGAUCGGCCCUGACGGAAUUAGGUAGUAGGGGGGGUAAAGGCUCACCGAGGCGACGAUCCCUAGCUGGUCUGAGAGGCUGACCAGCCACACUGGAACUGAGACAAGGUCCAGACUCCUACGGGAGGCAGCAGUAGGGAAUAUUGCACAAUGGGCGAAAGUCUGAGGCAGCCACGCCGCGUGUAUGAAGAAGGCCUUCGGAUUGUAAAGUACUGUUAUCGGAGAAGCGGUACCCAAAGAAGAAGCACCGGCUAACUCCGUGCCAGCAGCCGCGGUAAUUC